rnacentral:tRNA from 1 species
GCCUGGAUAGCUCAGAUGGUAGAGCACAUCCUUGGUAAGGAUGAGGUGAUGGGUUCAAUUCCCAUUCCAGGCU